rnacentral:rRNA from 1 species
UACAGAGGGUGCGAGCGUUAAUCGGAAUUACUGGGCGUAAAGCGUGCGUAGACGGCUAUCUAAGUCGGGUGUGAAAGCCCCGGGCUCAACCUGGGAAUUGCAUUCGAGACUGAAUAGCUAGGGUGCGGUAGAGGGAAGCGGAAUUUCCGGUGUAGCAGUGAAAUGCGUAGAUAUCGGAAGGAACACCAGUGGCGAAAGCGGCUUCCUGGUCCAGCACCGACGUUCAGGCACGAAAGCGUGGGGAGCAAACAGG